AACUUGCAAUCUCCUGCUCAGCCUCCCGAAUAGCUGCGAUUAUAGGAUGUACCACUAGGCCUAGUUAAUAUUUUUCUUCUAUUACUAAAUUUCAGAGAUUUUCUAGAGAUAAUGUAAUAUACUUUAUCAAAAAUAUAGUAAUUAAAUAAACGAUGAAAGACAACAAAAAACAAAAACCCUUUACAUUCUCUGAAAAGGAACGUUUUGAGGAAGAAAACGCAGACUGUGCCAGGACUGGUUUGCACCUGCAGUCCCAUCUGCUCGAGUUGCUGAGGUGGGAGGAUCCCUUGAGCCCACCAGUUUGGGACCAGCCUGCACAACAUCAUGAAUCUUUCCAUCAAAAAAAGAACAAAAUGUGGGCUGUGGGUCUUGGACUGAUGGAUAAAGAGAAGCCCAGACUCAGCAGUAGCUCAACAACGCCCACAGUGGUCAACAUUAGGAAGGGCCACUCUGGAGGCUAG
rnacentral:lncRNA from 1 species